rnacentral:rRNA from 1 species
UACGGAGGGUGCAAGCGUUAUCCGGAAUCAUUGGGUUUAAAGGGUCCGCAGGCGGUCAAUUAAGUCAGAGGUGAAAUACCGUCGCUUAACGACGGAACUGCCUUUGAUACUGGUUGACUUGAGUCAUAUGGAAGUAGAUAGAAUGUGUAGUGUAGCGGUGAAAUGCUUAGAUAUUACACAGAAUACCGAUUGCGAAGGCAGUCUACUACGUAUUGACUGACGCUCAUGGACGAAAGCGUGGGGAGCGAACAGG